rnacentral:rRNA from 1 species
GGACCGUAUACAAGUCUCCUGGGAUGGAGCAUCAUAGAGGGUGAGAAUCCCGUCUCUGAUACGGACUACCAGUGCAUUGUGGUAUGCUCUCAACGAGUCGAGUUGUUUGGGAAUGCAGCUCAAAAUGGGUGGUAAAUUCCAUCUAAAGCUAAAUAUUGGCGAGAGACCGAUAGCGAACAAGUACCGUGAGGGAAAGAUGAAAAGAACUUUGGAAAGAGAGUUAAACAGUACGUGAAAUUGCUGAAAGGGAAACGCUUGAAGUCAGUCGCGUCUGCUGGGAAUCAGCCUUGCUUUUGCGUGGUGUACUUCCUAGUUUGACGGGUCAGCAUCAAUUUUGACCGCUGGAAAAAGGUGAGGGGAAUGUGGCAGCUCCGGCUGUGUUAUAGCCUCUUAUUGUAUACAGCGGUUGGGAUUGAGGAACGCAGCACGCCGAAAGGCCGGGUCUUCUGACUACGUUCGUGCUUAGGAUGCUGGCAUAAUGGCUUUAAGCGACCCGUCUUGAAACACGGACCAAGGAGUCUAACAUGCCUGCGAGUGUUUGGGUGGAAAACUCGAGCGCGUAAUGAAAGUGAAAGUUGAGAUCCCUGUCGUGGGGAGCAUCGACGCCCGGACCAGAACUUUUGGGACGGAUCCGCGGUAGAGCAUGUAUGUUGGGACCCGAAAGAUGGUGAACUAUGCCUGAAUAGGGUGAAGCCAGAGGAAACUCUGGUGGAGGCUCGUAGCGGUUCUGACGUGCAAAUCGAUCGU